UAUGUUUGUAUGGAGACUUGACCAGUC
rnacentral:piRNA from 1 species